AAGCGCCUGCAGCAAAUUCAUUACCACCCAACUGCGAGGUUCACAUGCGUCGCAGGCUGGUCGGAGCGGCGGAGAGGGAGAGGUCCGCGCGCCAGACCGCGAACAAUGCUGCCUCAGUUCGUGCGCGCAACAAAAGAAUCGAGGGAACUUGUUUGAAUUUCAGAGCACGUCUUCUCGUCACAUAUAAAGGUUGGACUUUAUACACCCCUCCACCACCACUCCUCCCACCCCUCAUCAUCACCACCCCCACCUUCCUCGUCCGACCCCACGAUUAACAGAAAAAGAAGAGGAAGAAAAAAACUUGCAUAUUCUGAGCGCAACUGUGCGCGCACUUUUCUAUUUGCUGCUCGCAGACGACAUGGGAAAGUUGGCUCUCUCCCUCUCCCCCAUCCCUCCCUCUUGUCUGUCAUGUGCGUGGAACAUGCUCGUGCUCUGCACAUAGCAGCUGUAGCACGCCUAAUGCAGGCGCGCAGAGUGGCAGCGGCAAUUUUAAAGUCCUCCCCACACCGAACCCGACUGGGACAUUUUUUAAGGGGAACCUAUAUAUAUUCACCGCAGCACCAUGAGCACGGACCUCGCUGUUUUUUCUCCCGCUGCUUGGGACGCUUUCUGCACACUCGUGGUGGUGUUUGAGUCGCCCUUUAGAUGAACGGAGGAGCAAAGACCACCAUGGAGAAGGAACUACAGGUCAUCAAAAGAUUGCUGGAAUGUAGCCCUCCACUGGAGAAAAAAUGAGAUACACAGAGUGUCUCGGGGUCCCUGCAGCCAUGGGAAUGGAGAGUGCUGAGUUUCAAGGUCGUUCAGAGUAUUCUGCACCCUGGGGCGCUCCAUUGUCAGUGCGCCACGUCCUUCAGCUCGCACAUGCUCUCCAAUUGACAUACAAGACAUCAUGGGUUGGAUGAAGACCUAUAAAUGACGAGACACUCCAUACUGAAGAUGUCAUUGAUGGUCAGCAUAAAUUAAAGCUCCCCGAUAUUGAUGGAUGAAGAAGAAUGAGACCAGAAUUUCAUCAAAACGAGCUUCAAGAUCUCCAUUUUUGCUCUUCAAAGUGCACACUGGAGUACUACUACAGCCACUUUGUAUUUCUGCAAACGUAAUCUAUCAACGUGCUGUUGAACAAACUGAAAAUAGUGCCUUCAACCCUUACAGAUUAUUCUGAUUGCUGUCAUUUUUUUGUGAAAAUAUAUUUAUCAGAUUUAAAAAUAACGUUGAAAAAUAUAAAUAAAAUAAAACAAUUUAAUGCUUUAAGCGUUGUAUAACAAACAUUAAGUUAAUUUGUCUUGUUUUUCACAGCUAAAUAAAGACGUUUUUUUCAUGUAAAUGACAUUUUAAGUGUGAAUUAUUUUGUCUUUUCUGUGAAAAAAAAAGUUGCUGCACACCAGGUGUGGAAAAAAAAAGUGUGUUUGACAUAAUUGGGUCCCAUUUGAAUGUGAAAAGAGCACGCAGACUGAUAAAAGCUGGCAAGGUGAUCAAAGCGGCACGUGUCCCGAUCAAAACCACAACACUCGACAGAGUUGUAGUUUAUCCAGGCACACUAACGAUAUCUGAGGAAACAAGUUUAGACAGCAGCAGGGGAAACAGGCUUUAAACUCUAUUCUUCUGUUUCCUAUAUGAAGUACUACUUAAGUGCUUCUGACACAUAUCUAUUAACAAAUCUGUUUUGAUAAAAAAAAAAAAAUCAAGAACAGUGCUUUGUAAUUCUAAUACAAGUCCCACAAAUGUGAAUUACAUACUAAUUAUUAUGCAACUAAAUCCUUACUCAUUUAUCAAGCUGCUUUUGUUUUUAAUAAAUUUUAUUUUUUCAUUUGCCACAUGCCCUUUUUUGUUCUUGUCUCCUGUAUCUGAUUCACUCUUAGCCUCUUUUUCAAUAACUUUCUUUCAAGCUCACCUACCAUUUCUUCUCCCAGAAUCCUUCCCACUUCACUCUUCCUCUUUCUCCCCCUCUUGUGUUUCUAUUCCUCUCAGAUGUCAGAUCACAGUAUAGUUUUCUGCUUGCCCUGUCAUCACUUUCCUUCACCCAGCCCCAUCCCUUAAUUGGGCCUGUAUCAUCAUAUCAUGUCAUGUGUAGAAUACCUGAUCACAGCCAGGCAUGAAAGACACACACACACACACACACACGGGUUUCCAAACUCACACAUCGGUGGUCAUAUGGGACUCCGAUCCAAGCUGAUGUUUGUGUCUGAGUACAUCUUUGCGCUUGAAGUUUGCCGCACAACGCUGAUGGGAUUGUUACACUGUGACAGGUGAGGUGGUGUGUGUUCCAGGAGUGUCCACUGAUGUUUGCAUCAAGUGCUGGAGGCUUUUGUGAUAAAACAAAGGAUGCCCUUGAGCCAGCGGUUUCAUAUCUACAGGUAACUAUCAAAAUAAAGGAACACCAACAAAAAUGUCCAGGGAGUGUUGGAAACACUCACACUUUGCUCCAAGUCACUUUGAUAAAAUCCUGCCUCAUCUGGCAAGUCGAGAUGUUGCAUUCCUCAAACACACAUAGACACAUAGAGGGGGUUUCAAGACAAAUUUGCAGAGAUAAAUACUUAAUAUUGUAUAACCGCAAAGAAAUGAAUUGUUAUUCAUUGAGUGGAUGUUUAAAUUAGCAUGCACACAAAAACACAGGCUUUCUAAUAAUAUAUAAACAACUAAAAGUGAAGAGGGAAGAUUAAAGGAAAAAAUAUAUAGCAGAAUUUAAUCAUUAUAGGGUAUUUGGGUCAAAAUUCAUGUUUUCACGUGAAAAAAUUGGUCAAUUUUGAGCCAAGCAAAAUGUAAGGGGUUAAAAAGAGAGAAGUGCCUUAAAUAGUUUCAGUAAGCCAUCAUCUGCUAGUGAGAAGAGCUUGUCUUUUACUAAAUUAAACUAAAGUAAUGUCAAUUCCCUAAAAAAAUAAAA